UACGAGGGGGGCAAGCGUUGUUCGGAAUUAUUGGGCGUAAAGGGCGCGUAGGCGGUGCGGUAAGUCACCUGUGAAAACUCUGGGCUCAACUCAGAGCCUGCAGGCGAAACUGCCGUGCUUGAGUGUGGGAGAGGUGCGUGGAAUUCCCGGUGUAGCGGUGAAAUUCGUAGAUAUCGGGAGGAACACCAGUGGCGAAGGCGGCGAUCUGGGCAGAUACUGACGCUGAGGUGCGAAAGCGUGGGGAGCAAACAGG
rnacentral:rRNA from 1 species